AACAAACACGACCUUAUUCCAUCCCUCUACCUCUCUCAAUCACUUCGCACCCUCCCUCUCUGUAUCUCAAGUAGUCCGCUUCUAGGAAAUUGCAGCCCGUGCUUCCUCAGGGUUGCUCUGCUCCAUCCAUGUUCAUCCCGGCUACUGGUCUGCUUCUACAUGUAUAGAUCCUAUUGAUUAAGGUUUUGCUCUCAAUUUAUCAAGAUAUGGUUGAACAACGUGUCGCAAUCCAGAAGGUCCUUGCGAACCUUAUCCUGAAGAACUCCAGGAAUUUGACGUUAUCCUAGAUGAAAAAUGCUGGACCCAGAUGACCGAACUACACAAAGCUCCAUGGUGAUGGUUGGGUACACUUUGCUACUGAUUAUGGCCUCCAAGGUGGAAACGUAUAGUGUUUUUUCUUCCUCAUCAUGGACUGAUUCUGGAUGUCGUAACAUACCGCAAAGAUAAAAGGUUAUUUCCAUCACCUCAUCUGUGUAAGAAACUAAAAUUUGAAUUAUUUUUUGCUAGCUUUUAUAUUCAUGCCUAGUAUUAAAUUGUUUACUACUAAUUUUGUAUAUGUUCUUUUGAUAGCUCUCGACAGUCUUUCUUUUCUUUAUUUCAAGUACAUUCAGUGUUGUCUCUACUUGCGGGAUAUUGAGCUACAAGCAGACACACUUCUUUCUACAUCACCUAUUUAGCGAUACAUUCAUCUGUUGCUGCCCGUUUGUCCAUGUGUUGACAACCAACAACACAAAAGAUAAUAUUAAGAAAAUUCCAAAGAAUGUUAUCUCGACCUUGAAGACAUGGGUGGAAGUACGUGCCAACGCUGGGAUGAACCUUGAAACUCUCGAUGAACACACCAACUUCAUCACACCUUUGUCAUACUCCAUCUGCAAAAACACGGUAGGAUGGCAAUUGAGAAGUCUUCUUUCAACGAAUUCUUGGAAGCUUCAUCUUUUGCUAAAAAGAGCGUUGUUUUGAUCACCUUGAAUGAGCGCAAUGAUCAUUCUGUGUCCAUUUUCUUUCAGCGCAUUGUAUAGGUGGUUUUAGUGCACCAGUUAAAAUGGAAGUAAUGUUGCUCCUGAACACUUGUUUGUUUGUUAGAUUGAAGUGGUCUUUUGGAUAUACAAUGAUUGUCACGUGCCUAGAUGGCGCUAGUUUUGUAGCUGAAAUGGCACUCAUGUAGUUCUUUUGAACUAAUUGGAUAUUUGAAGUCUGACAACAUUCUUUUGUGUGAAAA